CUUGAUGUCAUGGUGUAUCACUUUUACUAUAAAUCCUGUGGUAAAAAACUCUGGUAGGGUCAACAGCAGAUUGCGGCAUCCUGAAAAUAACUAAAGACUUAACAACGAAGCUCAUAGGAAUGAGAUCUACACGUCUCUAACUGUCUUACCUGGACAUUGUCCUGAACUCCACCUUCAAACCACUCAUGCCCAAAGAUGUCCUCGAAACUGGGACGCAAUUCUGGGUUCAAUUCCAGGCACCACAUUAUCAGCUCGAAACACUCUGUGUGAGCAGCGAUGAGACAGAGGGGAAGUCUCCGGUCAACAAGUUGUACAGGACGAUGCCCAGAUUCCAGAUGGUAGCAGGAAUGCCCAUAUACUUUCCGUGUAAUAGAAACUCGGUGGCACCAAAAAAUUUGUACCUGAAAGUAAAAGAGGG